rnacentral:rRNA from 1 species
ACUCCUACGGGAGGCAGCAGUAGGGAAUCUUCCACAAUGGGCGCAAGCCUGAUGGAGCAACACCGCGUGAGUGAAGAAGGGUUUCGGCUCGUAAAGCUCUGUUGUUAAAGAAGAACACGUAUGAGAGUAACUGUACAUACGUUGACGGUAUUUAACCAGAAAGUCACGGCUAACUACGUGCCAGCAGCCGCGGUAAUACGUAGGUGGCAAGCGUUAUCCGGAUUUAUUGGGCGUAAAGAGAGUGCAGGCGGUUUUCUAAGUCUGAUGUGAAAGCCUUCGGCUUAACCGGAGAAGUGCAUCGGAAACUGGAUAACUUGAGUGCAGAAGAGGGUAGUGGAACUCCAUGUGUAGCGGCGGAAUGCGUAGAUAUAUGGAAGAACACCAGUGGCGAAGGCGGCUACCUGGUCUGCAACUGACGCUGAGACUCGAAAGCAUGGGUAGCGAACAGGAUUAGAUACCCUGGUAGGAUAGCG